UACGGAGGGUGCAAGCGUUAUCCGGAUUCACUGGGUUUAAAGGGUGCGUAGGCGGGCAGGUAAGUCCGUGGUGAAAUCUCUGAGCUUAACUCAGAAACUGCCAUGGAUACUAUUUGUCUUGAAUAUUGUGGAGGUAAGCGGAAUAUGUCAUGUAGCGGUGAAAUGCUUAGAUAUGACAUAGAACACCAAUUGCGAAGGCAGCUGGCUACACAUAUAUUGACACUGAGGCACGAAAGCGUGGGGAUCAAACAGG
rnacentral:rRNA from 1 species